GUUCACACAUGUUCAGCAGAGAUAUUUUUAGAGACUCUGCUCAAGGAAUUAAAAUAGGAGUGUAGAGGAGGCAGCUGUGGUGUGUAGAACCCUGCUUCAUUCAUUGCAGAAAUUGGAAGGUGUAUAGUGAAUGAGACAGGAGCUUGCAGAAAGAGAAAGGAUGGGCUCAUUGUUAAUAUAGCUGAAGGCAGGAGCGGCGCCAGGGUUUUUGGCGCCCUAGGUGGGGGUCCUUCCUAGCUCCCGGUCGUUGGCGGCAAUUCUGCGGCGGGGGGGGGGCCCUUCUGCACUCCCGGUCUUCGGGGCACUUCGGCGGCGGGUCCCGGAGUGAGUGAAGGACCCGCCGCAGAAUUGCUGCCGAAGACCCGGAGCAUGGAAGGACCCCUCGCCACUGAAUUGCCGCCAAGGGCCGCAAAAUGCCGCCCUCCCAAAUCCUGGUGCCCUAGGCAACCGCCUAGGUCACCUAAAUGGAAGUGCCGGCCCUGGCUGAAGGCUGCCCUGAGGAGUUGGAUUAUUUCCCUGUCUUUGCCACAGAGUCACCAAACCUUUCACGGGUGGUCGCUAAUUAUAUGGUUCUCAUUUUCUGGGUGCCUGACUUGAAACCCCAGAACCAGAUGUGCAGAAUUCCUGAGCACUCACAGCUGCCUCUAAAGCCAAUGGAGGCUGUGCUUUGAACAUCUAAAGGGCUAUAUAAUGCAAAAUACUCUGAAAAAUCAGAUCCUAAGCAUCUUUGUUAGGCACCUUAAUCUUGCUGUACCUCAGUUCCUUCUCUGUAAAACAGAGAUAAUAAUAUCCUGUGACCUCACAGGGAUGUGUGAAAAUAACUACAUCAACAUUUGCAAUGCACUCAGAUACCAGAUACGCUGGCAAUGAACACCAUAGGACAUUAAUCACUCUGUAUUCAGAGCAGGAUUUGAAUAACAUGCAGCUAAUAAGGCCUAAUGGCACACAUUGAAAAACAAAGAGAAAACAAAUUAUUGACUGGCUACACUUUAAAUGAGCACCAUCUACCCUUUGCACGGAAAGAGGCAGGGGUCUUGUGGCAAAAAAUAGCAUGUGAUCAUGUAAUUAAAGACUGAAUACACACAAGAGGACCAAAUUAAGAUUGCACACGCAACCUUCAGUCUGGCAUUUUCUAACUUUGGAGUGCUUGGUUUUGCAGCCUUGAUAACAUUUUUUUUAAACCACUAUUUGUUUUUGCAUGGGUGAAACAUAGCAUAAAAGCCCAAACUCACAGAAAGGGGAUGUCCCUCCAUCUAGCAGUUUGGAGGUUGAUCCAUUCCCAGUAGCUGACUUCCUCUGACACACAGGUGCCAGGAAGCCUAACAGGCCACAGCUGCUUCCGGGCCUUGCUGGUUAACCCCUGCCUUUCCAUGGUUGAGCUCCACAGCUUUCUGACACAGUCAUGUCCAGGACAUGCAAUCCGCCAUACACCACAUUCAUCUAACCCAUUUGUUUCCCUUGUUGGUUGUCCUUUUCAGCCACAGAAAGCUCUAAUCCCCAUCUCCACAUUGGGGCAUGCUCUUUCUUGGGCUCCCAACAAGACCGAGUCUGUUUCUGCAGCACUUGCAAAUGGGUCAAAACUCCCCAGGCUGUGCUGACUGGCAAAAAUGGGACCUGGAAUUCACAACUAGUGAAUAGUAGCAGCAAGGGUGGAGGAUCUAAUGCAGAUAGAGCUUAUGCAUUUCGAUGACCGGUAGAGGUCACAUGGUCUGGACUCUGUCUACAUUAUAGCUUGUACUGUCAUCACCAUAAGAGCUCCACUGUUUGGCACCAGCAACUCUGGGUCUCAUUUUUGCCAGUGUAGACAUGGCCCUAGUGACAAGUGUGACAGAUAUUGCAACGCCAUGCAGUAUUUUGAGGGAGCACUGUAUUAAACUUAUGAAUGGGUUAUGUGCGAUUGGGGGAGGGUUACCACAGCCCUUACAGGAAUUAAAACAGAAGGGGUGAUGCCCCUGAGAUUGUAAAUAACUCCACAGAAAUUCCACGCUGGGGUGAUUUGCAUAUACUGGUUCAGGUUGGGUUUUCCAGAUACUAGGAAGCAUCAUACAAAAUGCCAAGCUUGGCCUGACUAAUGGUCUUCAUUUUGAUUCAGCAAAUGAACAUGACUGUCCGUCCAAGGGGAAGCCCCAACUCUUGCUGAAGGGUUGGAAGGGAUGGUGGUCUUUCAGACUUCCCAUGUGGAACAGGCAGGGCCAGCUCCAGGAGUUUUGCCACCCUAAGCAGUCAAAAAAAAAAAAAAAAGCCACGAUCGUGAUCUGCGGCAAUUCAGCAGGAGGUCCUUCACUCCCAGCGGGAGUGAGGGACCCUCCGCCAAAUUGCCGCCGAACACCUGAAAGUGCCGCCCUGCUCCGGAGUGGCUGCCUCAAGCACCUGCUUGAUAAGCUGGUGCCUGGAGCUGGCCCUGGGAACAGGGGUGGUUUCUCCUAUGUUUAGUAUGGGUCUCAGUCUGUUGUUUUUAUGUUUUCUCUUUAAUGCUUUGUCCUGUUAAUAAAGGCGCUUGCUUCGAAAGAGCUGUGGGAGAACAUGUGAUUGCAGGCAAUACACUGUUCAUAGCCCUUGGAGAAAAAGCAACUCAGAGCUGCUAGCCAUUAGGCAGACUGGUUUGCUGAGAAUAUCGCAGUUUAAGGCUGGGGGUUGGGCAGCCUUAUUAUCCCCUGGUCAGAAGGGAGGGGGACAGUAGUUCCUGUCCAGAGACAGGUGACAUGGGCCUGGCCUGGACACUCCUGGAGUAGAAUUCAGAGGGGGGAAGACACAUGCUGUACCCCUGAAACUGUGAAGACAAAUACUGGAGCACUGCCUUUGCUCUACUCCUCCUUAUUCACAAUACAGGACAGAGAUGUUUAACCGCACAUCCUUUUAGAAAGAUGGACGCAGACUCGCAGCUCCUAAGAUCUGAUGUCAUUUCUCAGCUUCUGCGAUGGGGCCCCUGCAUUUAAAUCUAAAAUCCACAUUAAAUAGGUUCUCUGUUUUUAUGUGCCUAAAAUAAAAACACUAUUUUAAUAAUUAACAAUGAUUAAAUUAAUUGGUGCUUUGUAUAUUACUUUCUGUUAUCACAUGCUACCGCAUCCUGAGUUCUCAAAGUGACUCUGUCCCUUGGGAUGCUAAACAAAGUCAUUAUAAUCACAACAUCACUUUCUUUCAUAAUCCCCCCUUCUCAUUCUUCAUCACUACUCAUCAAAAUAAAAUUGAAUCUGUUAUGUGCACAGCCAGUUUUUAGUGCACAGCUUUUUAAUAAAUGAUAAUAUCGGGCUGUUCUGUCAUGUCUUUCCACCAAGCAUAUAAAAGCCCUUUCCAGUCAUUAAUCAAUCAGGACUUCCCAGCUGACAGCUUUGGGAGGUAGGUGUUAUUUAUCUCUGUUGUGCUAAUGUGUAAACUGAGGCACAGAGGGGUUACAUCACAUGAUUUGUCCAGGCUUACCCAGCAAGUAAAUGGCAAUCAGGACCAGGAAUAGAGUCUUCAGUAGGUACAAUUGAGGGACAAGUGAAGAUUAUAGACUACUCUGGGGGCCAAAAUGGCCUCUGACAUAAGUUAGAGCAGUCACUGGUUACUGAAACUUACAGUAGCCCAUCAUAGGCUUCCCAUGGGCUGCUGUGCAGGCAUGUCUGCAAUAGUGCCAUUCCAAGCCCCACUGUGCUGAGGAGGAAACAUAGGGCUGUUUAGGGACUGAGGAGUAUGUCCCUGGGCCCUUGUGGUGCCUUUACACCCUUUGUGUGUUGCCAGGAUAGCAUCUAGGGGCUAGGGUAGGGGAACAGAAUCUGUGGCCAGGAGCCCUUAAUCCCAGUCACCUGCUUGAACCACUAGCAGACACUGCCUUUAAUAAAACCUUGUCCAGCAUUAACCUCAACUUGCAGAAUGAAGAGCAGCAGCAAAGGGAGUUACUGUCAGUCUUUUGUGUAUGGAAGACUGUGACUGCAAAGUAGGGGGUAUUUAAAGCUGGGAACAGGGGAAAUCAUUCGAUCAGCACUGGCAGGGCUGUAAUGAAUACCACAAAGUGUAUUUUUAAUGUAUUCAUUACAUAUAUUUAAGGGGUGCUGGUGCAACCCACACCUCCUGGGUGUAGUGCUCUGUCCCAUCUAGUGGCACCAAGACCACUAAAAGAGAGAGAGAAAAUGAGUCUGCUCUACAGCCUUAGCUAACAGUAGUUGGCUUUUAGCUCAUGUGGUAGAGGCUCAUGCACUAAGCCCCAGAGGUCCCCAGUUCAGUCCUACCUACUAAUGACUGGGGUCUGUCGGCGUUACACAGGGAUGCUCUUGUUUUGGGUGUCCAGGCUGUUGGUGCAAUGCGUAUCUACAAUAUUGUUCUUGUCCUACUAGAUUUUGGACAAAACUCACUGAGGAUUCCAGACUGAACGUCACAACCUCAGAAAGGAGGGGAGAACUGGCUACUUUAUUGCAAGAAAGUCUGCACGCUAAGUUUGCUUCUUGACUGAACAAAUAACAGGCUGUACUCAAGCUCUACUAGCCUGCUGCAAAAAGGAUGCAGUUCAGGUUCCCACCCCUACUUCCACAGCAAUAAAAAAGCUUAACAUGCACUUUUCAGGAGGAAAAAAGAAAAAAAAAACCCAACCAGCCCUCUUCCUUCACCCUCAAAAAGUCCAAAACCCAGAAAACCCCUCUUCUCCACUUUCCAGCCAUAGGUGUCACAGGAGUUGUAGAUAUGACAAAUACUGGAUACCUGCCUGUUUCCCCCAACGUAGAUCUGGUGAGCCGUAAAGGAUUUAAACAUUGGGUUUGGGCCCUUUUUUAUGGUAUAUAAAGAAGGCCUGAAUGAUUUCAACCUCAGCCCCUUACAUUUGAAAUACCAGACUGGUCUUCCCUGGGUGGGCCGGAGGAUCUCUUGGGGCUCUCAGAGAUGUUUAUUAUCUAUUCUCCCACCUUAACAGACAGGGUUUGGGGCAGUGCUGAAUCUAAUAAUGCCAUCUUUACAA